rnacentral:lncRNA from 1 species
GCAAUUAGAGGUUCCAGAAGUAGAAGGAAAAAUCUUCAGUAGAAACUUUUCUUUUUUGGGUUUUGAGUUGUGCAAGCAACAAAGUAAGAAAGUAUGAUCUGUUUACCUCUGCAUUACCUUCCGAUCUGUUUGUCUCUGCUUUGCCUUUCGAUCUGUGAGGGAGCGAGAAUCGGGAAAAGAGAAGAUGGAAGACCCAGUUCUUUGUGAGUGA